rnacentral:rRNA from 1 species
UACGUAGGGUGCAAGCGUUGUCCGGAAUUACUGGGCGUAAAGAGCGCGCAGGCGGUCGUUCAAGUCGCGUGUGAAAGCCCCCGGCUCAACUGGGGAGGGUCACGCGAUACUGAUCGACUGGAAGGCAGGAGAGGGUAGUGGAAUUCCCGGUGUAGUGGUGAAAUGCGUAGAUAUCGGGAGGAACACCAGUGGCGAAGGCGACUACCUGGCCUGUUCUUGACGCUGAGGCGCGAAAGCGUGGGAGCAACAGG